rnacentral:rRNA from 1 species
UACGGAGGAUCCAAGCGUUAUCCGGAUUUAUUGGGUUUAAAGGGUCCGCAGGCGGAUUAUUAAGUCAGUGGUGAAAUCCUGCAGCUCAACUGUAGAACUGCCAUUGAUACUGAUAGUCUUGAGUGUGGUUGAAGUGGGCGGAAUGUGUCAUGUAGCGGUGAAAUGCAUAGAUAUGACACAGAACACCGAUUGCGAAGGCGGCUCACUAAGCCAUUACUGACGCUCAGGGACGAAAGCGUGGGGAUCAAACAGG